rnacentral:rRNA from 1 species
GACGAACGCUGGCGGCGUGCUUAACACAUGCAAGUCGAACGAAGUGGCGAAAGGGUGAGUAACGCGUAAUCAACCUGCCCUUCAGAGGGGGAUAACAGUUGGAAACGACUGCUAAUAAAGCAUACUGCAGGAGGGGAUUGCGUCUGAUUAGCGAGUUGGAGGGGUAACGGCCCACCAAGGCGAUGAUCAGUAGCCGGUCUGAGAGGAGGAACGGCCACAUUGGGACUGAGACACGGCCCAGACUCCUACGGGAGGCAGCAGUGAGGAAUAUUGGUCAAUGGGCGUAAGCCUGAACCAGCCAAGUAGCGUGCAGGACGACGGCCUAUGGGUUGUAAACUGCUUUUAUGCGUGGAUAGGUACCGCAUGAAUAAGGACCGGCUAAUUCCGUGCCAGCAGCCGCGGUAAUAC